rnacentral:rRNA from 1 species
AAAUUGAAGAGUUUGAUCAUGGCUCAGAUUGAACGCUGGCGGCAGGCCUAACACAUGCAAGUCGAACGGUAACAGGAAGCAGCUUGCUGCUUCGCUGACGAGUGGCGGACGGGUGAGUAAUGUCUGGGAAGCUGCCUGAUGGAGGGGGAUAACUACUGGAAACGGUGGCUAAUACCGCAUAACGUCGCAAGACCAAAGAGGGGGACCUUCGGGCCUCUUGCCAUCAGAUGUGCCCAGAUGGGAUUAGCUAGUUGGUGAGGUAACGGCUCACCAAGGCGACGAUCCCUAGCUGGUCUGAGAGGAUGACCAGCCACACUGGAACUGAGACACGGUCCAGACUCCUACGGGAGGCAGCAGUGGGGAAUAUUGCACAAUGGGCGCAAGCCUGAUGCAGCCAUGCCGCGUGUAUGAAGAAGGCCUUCGGGUUGUAAAGUACUUUCAGCGGGGAGGA